GGAAAAUUCGGAGAAAUCCAGAUUUUGCGGAAAAGAGCUGUCGUGACAAGUACAUCGUCCUUUAUUUGUGACAACACUCGGCACGUAACCCCAGAGCGAAAGGCUCCGUCUCUGGCCUUGGAUACACCGACUGCCUCCGUGGAGUGGGGGAUAAGUGUGGGCUGAUACAAAAGCUGCAAGUACCCGUUCACAGAGGAAGCAGAUUAACACCCUAAGCCGCUGAAUAAUUUCCAUUGUGUAUAUAUGCAACUGCGUGAGCGAAAUGCCCAUGUUUUGCUGCAUAUUAUGCUUCAUUAUUUUUGAAUACAAUAGAUCUCUUGGCAUUAGUACUAAAUGAAUGGUAAGUUCAUUUCAUCUGAAAGUCUAAACAAACAAGCACUAACAAUGAGAAUAAAUCAGAUUGCUGCAGUGCUUUCAAGUAGCUGGUAAAAAUAGUAUUUUAAUCAAAUAACUCAGUUGUAACUGCCAUGAACUACUGGGAAGGUUAAGGCUGUGGCUCAGUAUUCUAGUGAGAAAACACACAGAAUUAUUCAAAUCACGCAAUUUCAUCGCCACCGCUUGACUCAGAUUAAAAGCAGAAGAUGGUAGUCUGAGUUUCUAUCCCUACUACCAAGCUGAAGCCACCAACAAAACAAAGGUUAAUGGAAUAUUCUGAAAGACAAGCCAUUUAGCAAGAAAAUGCAAUGCUAUACAAAAAUAACUAUGGCCAGACUGGAGUGGUUUACUCCAAAAUAAAGAAAUGCUUUUGGUUUAUUUGGGUUUACUCCAAAAUGAGGAAUAAGCUCACAUUUAAGACUCUGGACCAGUGUUUGUGAGAUGUGAGUUCAGUUCUUGGCUGCAGCAUGGACUGCCUGGUGCGGCCGAGCUCGCACGGGAGAUGACUGCCUCUAUUUCUUGGGAAUACUGCGAGGCAAGAGUAACUGGAAAGUCUGAGCUGCUCAAAUACGGCGAUGCUGAAAACCAAAGGGAACGCUGCAGACAGCCUUACCCAGAGACUGCCAGAUUAUUUUUUUUGAGACCAAAAGAAAGCACCAUGGUCAUCUGAUUGAAACUCCAGCAGAGCAGAUCCCUUCCUACUUCCUCCGUCCGGCCCGGUGGCAGCAUCUGAACCAGAACACUGCUUCCAGAAAAACAUCUAAAAACCCAAGCGAUAAACCUGUUGCAAUCCUUGGUGACUUGUUCCCUCACCAUAAGAAACUUGUUUCUGGUCUGCAUUUGUACAGCUACAGCUUCAUACCCUGAUGGUCAUGUCUUUGCCUAUGGAUUAGAGUCUGUUCAAAUUUAUGUUCACCACGUAAGUACUUACGGGUUGUGAUCAAAGCACCACAUACGCUCCCUUUGAUACACGGCAUGGAUUGCACUCUCUGACUCUCUCUCUCUCUGAGAUGUUUUCCAAUCUUUUAAUCAUUCCCCUCUCUGAAUCCUCUCCAGUUCCUGAGCUGGCGCGAUUGGGAGGCAAUGGCUGGAGCGAAGAGGAAGAUAAAGUCCUACACUUCUGAAAAUGUUUCACUUCUAACUCUUUUUUGCUGCCCAAUACCUGCUAGAGGCUGAAAAUUCAGCACAGCUAUGCAGACUAGACUGGUCUGUUGGGGACAUUGGCUUUAGCAGCUAUUCAAGGAUCGGACACCCACUCCGCCUCUGCUUCCUGAGCUGCGGUUUGAGCGCCGGCACUAGCAGAUUGGGCUGUUAGCCAGCUCGUAGCUCCAUGCACGUUCAUGAGCUCCAAUUCCAGGCAGCUGCUUGGGACCAAGUUCUCUCUCCAGUUCAUCGGUGCAUGGCCACUAACCUGAAUGUUGCAGCUCCAAAACCAAGAGGCAAUUUUAAAGAACACAAAACCUGUCCAUCUGUGCCCGAGACGCACAGCCCUGCUCUGCGCCUUUGGAAACCAGAUCCGCGGCAGAGGUAGUGCACAGGCAUGUUGUCAGAGGCCUUUUAAGUCUGUUUAACAACCUGAACUCUUUGCUAGAAAACAUCUGAUACCAACUAGACUAAACCCAGGCUUAUCAAAAGGACACGGUAAUAAAAGCUAAUUUUGAUUGUGGACGUCAGCGUGGAGUUAGAGGGUGCUACUAACAGUGAUGAUAGCUAUGGCUUCAGAGGUAAAAAGGGACUAAACCAGCAACUGCCUUGGUAGCCAUUAAAAAAA